rnacentral:rRNA from 1 species
UACGGGGGGGGGCAAGCGUUGUUCGGAAUUACUGGGCGUAAAGGGCUCGUAGGCGGCCAACUAAGUCGGAUGUGAAAUCCCCAGGCUUAACCUGGGAACUGCAUCCGAUACUGGAUGGCUUGAAUCCGGGAGAGGGAUGCAGAAUUCCAGGUGUAGCGGUGAAAUGCGUAGAUAUCUGGAGGAAUACCGGUGGCGAAGGCGGCAUCCUGGGCCGGCAUUGACGCUGAUGAGCGAAAGCUAGGGGGAGCAAACGGG